rnacentral:ncRNA from 1 species
GGCGCACCACGGCCCUAUGCGUGUCACUUGUGACUGUGUAGAGGUUGAGCAGUAGGCAAGCGACCCGAAAGAUGGUGAACUAUGCCUGAGCAGGAUGAAGCCAGAGGAAACUCUGGUGGAAGUCCGUAUCGGUUCUGACGUGCAAAUCGAUCGAUAGACUUGGGUAUAGGGGCGAAAGACUAAUCGAACCAUCUAGUAGCUGGUUCCUUCCGAAGUUUCCCUCAGGAUAGCUGGAACUCUUGCAGUUAUAUUCGGUAAAGCUAAUGAUUAGAGGCCUUGGGGACGUAAUGUCCUCAACCUAUUCUCAAACUUUCAAUGGAUAUGGCGUCGCAGUUUCUUUAGUGAACUGCGGCGUGAAUGCGAGUUCCAAGUGGGCCAUUUUUGGUAAGCAGAACUGGCGCUGUGGGAUGAACCAAACGUGGAGUUAAGGUGCCUAACUUCUCGCUUAUGAGACCCCAUAAAAGGUGUUGGUUGAUAUUGACAGCAGGACGGUGGCCAUGGAAGUCGGUACCCGCUAAGGAGUGUGUAACAACUCACCUGCCGAAUCAACUAGCCCUGAAAAUGGAUGGCGCUUAAGCGAGAGACCUAUACUCCGCCGUCGCGGCAUGUGCGUUGUCUAGCGCCAGGUCGCGACGAGUAGGAAGGACGUGGCGGUUGCGUUGAAGGCUAUGAGCGUAGGCUCGGCUGGAGCUUCCGUCAGUGCAGAUCGUAAUGGUAGUAGCAAAUAUUCAAGUUCGAUCCUUGAAGUACUGAAGUGGAGAAGGGUUCCACGUGAACAGUAGUUGGAUGUGGGUCAGUCGAUCCUAAGGUACUGGCGAAAGCCUUGUAUCAUCGGUGGCGAAAGCUUGCUUUUGUCCCCGCCCGUCGAAAGGGAAUAGGGUUAAAUAUUCCCUAAACUGAGAUGCAAAGAUUGUGUUCUUCGGAGCACAAGCGCGGUAACGCGUUCGAACUUGGUAAGUCGCUCAGAGACCGAGCUAGAGUUUUCUUCUCUAGUUAAGGAACGGACUCCCUGGAAUUGGUUCAGCCAGAGAUGGGGACGUUGUUUCCGAAAAGCACCGCGGUUUCUGUGGUGUCUCGUGCUCUCUGAACGGCCCUUUAAACACCAAGGGAGGCUAUUAAUUUGCACUCAAUCGUACCGAUAUCCGCAUUAGGUCUCCAAGGUGAACAGCCUCUAGUCGAUAGAAUAAUGUAGGUAAGGGAAGUCGGCAAACUAGAUCCGUAACUUCGGGAAAAGGAUUGGCUCCAGUGGUCGGAACGGUUGGCCAGUUGGUUGA